rnacentral:rRNA from 1 species
CGGCAGCACGGGUGCUUGCACCUGGUGGCGAGUGGCGAACGGGUGAGUAAUACAUCGGAACGUACCUUAUCGUGGGGGAUAACGCAGCGAAAGCUGUGCUAAUACCGCAUACGCCCUGAGGGGGAAAGCGGGGGAUCGAAAGACCUCGCGCGAUUAGAGCGGCCGAUGCUUGAUUAGCUUGUUGGUGGGGUAAAAGCCCACCAAGGCGACGAUCAAUAGCUGGUCUGAGAGGACGAUCAGCCACACUGGGACUGAGACACGGCCCAGACUCCUACGGGAGGCAGCAGUGGGGAAUUUUGGACAAUGGGGGAAACCCUGAUCCAGCAAUGCCGCGUGAGUGAAGAAGGCCUUCGGGUUGUAAAGCUCUUUUGUCAGGGAAGAAACACCGGCUCUAACACAGUCCGGGAAUGACGGUACCUGAAGAAUAAGCACCGGCUAACUACGUGCCAGCAGCCGCGGUAAUACGUAGGGUGCGAGCGUUAAUCGGAAUUACUGGGCGUAAAGCGUGCGCAGGCGGUUAUACAAGACAGGCGUGAAAUCCCCGGGCUUAACCUGGGAAUGGCGCCUGUGACUGUAUAGCUAGAGUGUGUCAGAGGGGGGUAGAAUUCCACGUGUAGCAGUGAAAUGCGUAGAUAUGUGGAGGAAUACCAAUGGCG